rnacentral:lncRNA from 1 species
GUGGAACUGGAGCCUAGGUACAUGGCCAGGGCUUAGAGGUGGGGCUGGGAGGCGGAGUGGAGCUGAAUCCUACGGGCGUGGCCACAGCGCUGCAGCUGAGCCUAGAGCCUGUAUGUCUGGGUGUGGUCAGGGUGGCAGGCGUGGCCAACCCUUGGAAGCGUAGCAGGAGGGCUCACGUGGUUCCUGGGCCUGAAGGCACUGUCAGGGCUGUAGCCUAUAGGGAAGGGCGUUGGAAGGAUCACCCAGAACUCAAGGGACCUGGCCGGAAGCCUGCAGGCUUGGUCAAGGCUUAGAGACUUGACUGAGGCCUGUGGAGGUGGAUGUGGCUAAAAUUUGACCGGGCAGCCUGUGGGCGUGGCUGAAGAGCAUGGGGGUGUGGUCAGAGCUGGAGGUGUGGCCGAAGAGUGUGGGGGCGUGGCCAGGGCGCCUGGUCUUAGACAAGCCCCUGGAUGGGAGUGCCACCAACAUGUUUCCAGCACUGGAGCCGUCCUUCUCUUCUGUAAGUGGGCUGGUUUGUCCUCUCCCUUCCUCCAUCUCUUUUUUCCCUUCCAUGUGCAGUGCCCUAAUCUGCAUUCUGGGAACACUGCCCCAUGUGAAUAGUAACUGCACCCCUCCAUUCCUGACUGCCCCCCCAUCAGGGCACCUCGCCCACCUCCACCCCCACUGUCCUCUGAACUCAGAGCAGCUUCAGCCUCAGAGAACGUCUGCGUGAUCCUGCUCUCCCCAGCUCCAGAUCCUCCAUGGCUCCCUCACGCCCUUUGGAAAAACUCACUCUUCUCCCCCAUGACCGCCAGACCCCUGGGCUCCUGCAUUCACUCCAUCCAGUCACAGAGCUCUGCAAACAUGCUGAGCCUGCUCCCAUCCCAGGACCUGACGGGCUAUGUGGGCCGGAAGCGGAUGCAGGUGGAGCACCCCGAGAAGGCUGUGCCUCGCGUGAGGAACCUGGUGGAGGCCGACUAUUCCUACUGGACCCUGGCCUACGUGAUCUCCCUGCAAGGCGCCCGCAAACUGCUGGCUGCUGAGCCGCUCUCCAAGAUGCUGCCUGUGGAC